UGGACAAUACUCUUUGAAGGUUAUAUCCUGAGGAGCUUAAAGAUCAACUUGUGUACAACUCUGCUGCAGCGCACCAUGCCGAUCAACUUGUGUACAACUCUGCUGCAGCGCAUCAUGCCGAUCAACUUGUAUACAACUUUGCUGCAGCGCAUCAUGCCGUUUCGACAUUUUGCCAUAAAAAUGUUCAUCUCUAAAUGACCUCAGAAUUCUUCUAUUAAGGGUAAUAUGGUUGGUCCGGUAUAUUUUAUAUAUGUGAUAUACA